GGUGUUCUGCAGGUGUCUGCAGGUGUCUACAGGUGUUCUGCAGGUGUCUGCUCGUGUUCUGCAGGUGUUCUGCAGGUGUCUGCAGGUGUCUACAGGUGUUCUGCAGGUGUCUGCAGGUGUUCUGCAGGUGUCUGCAGGUGUUCUGCAGGGGUCUGCAGGUGUCUGCAGGUGUUCUGCAGGGGUCUGCAGGUGUCUGCAGGUGUUCUGCAGGGGUCUGCAGGUGUCUGCAGGUGUUCUGCAGGUGUCUGCAGGUGUUCUGCAGGGGUCUGCAGGUGUCUGCAGGUGUUCUGCGGGUGUCUGCAGGUGUCUGCAGGUGGUCUGCAGGUGUCUGCUGGUGUCUGCAGGUGUUCUGCAGGUGUCUGCAGGUGUCUGCAGGUGUUCUGCAGGUGUUCUGCAGGUGUUCUACAGGUGUUCUGCAGGUGUUCUGCAGGUGUUCUGCAGGUGUUCUGCAGGUGUCUGCAGGUGUUCUGCAGGUGUCUGCAGGUGUUCUACAGGUGUUCUGCAGGUGUCUGCAGGUGUCUGCAGGUGUUCUGCAGGGGUCUGCAGGUGUCUGCAGGUGUUCUGCAGGGGUCUGCAGGUGUCUGCAGGUGUUCUGCAGGUGUCUGCAGGUGUUCUGCAGGGGUCUGCAGGUGUCUGCAGGUGUUCUGCGGGUGUCUGCAGGUGUCUGCAGGUGGUCUGCAGGUGUUCUGCAGGUGUCUGCAGGUGUCUGCAGGUGUUCUGCAGGUGUCUGCAGGUGUCUGCAGGUGUUCUGCAGGUGUUCUGCAGGUGUUCUACAGGUGUUCUGCAGGUGUUCUGCAGGUGUUCUGCAGGUGUUCUGCAGGUGUCUGCAGGUGUUCUGCAGGUGUCUGCAGGUGUUCUACAGGUGUUCUGCAGGUGUCUGCAGGUGUCUGCAGGUGUUCUGCAGGGGUCUGCAGGUGUCUGCAGGUGUUCUGCAGGUGUCUGCAGGUGUCUGCAGGUGUCCUGCAGGUGGUCUGCAGGUGUUCUGCAGGUGUCUGCAGGUGUUCUGCAGGUGUUCUGCAGGUGUCUGCAGGUGUCUGCAGGUGUUUUGCAGGUGUCUGCAGGUGUCUGCAGGUGUUCUGCAGGUGUCUGCAGGUGUCUGCAGGUGUUCUGCAGGUGUCUGCAAGUGUCUGCAGGUGUCUGCAGGUGUCUGCAGGUGUCUACAGGUGUCUGCAGGUGUCUGCAGGUGUUCAGCAACACGCAUCACAUUUGGCAGCGUUUUAGGCAGUCGCAGUAGUUACUCCAAGAACUGA
rnacentral:lncRNA from 1 species